AUCGAUAAUCCACGUUAANUUUCACUUUAUUCCAAAAUUUAUAUACCGCCAUUACAAGAAUCAAUUCAAAAAUUUCUCUCUCAACAAUUAAUAAUAAAUUAGGUCAAGGUGUAAUCCAUAUUAAAGAAUUGAUGAAUUACAUUAAAUAAUAUUUAAAGCUUAUUUAUAAACAUAUAAAUAUAAAUAAGAAUUUAAAAACAAUAUAUAAAUAAUAAUUAUAUAUGAUAAAGAUAAUAAAUGUGCACACAUCGCCC
rnacentral:rRNA from 1 species